rnacentral:rRNA from 1 species
AUUGAACGCUGGCGGCGUGCCUAAUACAUGCAAGUCGAGCGAACGAAGGGAAAGCGUUCUUUUCUUAUGUUAGCGGCGGACGGGUGAUGAAUACGUGUAUAACCGACAUAUAGGACUAGGAUCAGUUAGCGAAACCUAAUCUAAUACACGUUAAGAUGGAGAAACGCAGGGUUCAAAAGUGAAAAACGUACUAGCUGUCACUAAUAGAUGUAACCUCGCUGCAUUAGCUAGUUGGUAAGGUAACGGCGUACCAAGGCAACGAUGCGUAGCCGACCUGAGAGGGUGAUCAGCCACACUGGAACUGAGACACGGUCCAGACUCCUACGGGAGGCAGCAGUAGGGAAUAUUCGGCAAUGGGCGAAAGCCUGACCGAGCCAUGCCGCGUGAGUGAUGAAGGUCUUCGGAUCUUAAAGCUCUGUUAUUUGGGAAGAACAUAUGUGAAAGUAAAUGUGCACAUCUUGACGGUACCUACACAGAAAGCAACGGCUAACUACGUG